rnacentral:rRNA from 1 species
UUCUUACUAGAAUUUAUUGUAAGUAACUCCUGCUCAAUGAAUUUUAAAUAGCCGCGGAAAUUUAACCGUGCUAAGGUAGCAUAAUCAUUAGCCCCCUAAUUAGGGGCUCGUAUGAAUGGAGACACUUUUUAACAUCUUUAUUAAUUAGUAACUUUUAAGUUAAAUUAAGAAUAAAAAUGUUCUUAUACUUUAAUUAGACGACAAGACCCUUUUGAACUUUACUUAAGUUUAGCUGGGGCAGCUAAAAAAUAAUUAUCUUUUUCCUUUUCAACAAAUUAAUGACCCAAAACAUUUGAUUAAUUGAUUAAGUUACCAUAGGGAUAACAGCGUAAUAUCUUUCUAAAGUUCUUAUUUAAAAAGAAGAUUGCGACCUCGAUGUUGAAUUAAUAUAACUUUAAGAUGCAAAAAUUUUAAAUAGUAGGUCUGUUCGACCUUUAAAAUAUUACAU